rnacentral:rRNA from 1 species
UACGUAGGGGGCGAGCGUUGUCCGGAUUUAUUGGGCGUAAAAGGCUUGUAGGUGGCCACGUCAAGCCGGAUGUGAAAUCUCCCGGCUCAACUGGGAGGGGUCAUUCGAUACUGGCGGGCUCGAGGCCGGUAGGGGGAAGCGGAAUUCCCGGUGUAGUGGUGGAAUGCGUAGAUAUCGGGAGGAACACCAGUGGCGAAGGCGGCUUCCUGGACCGGUUCUGACACUGAGGAGCGAAAGCGUGGGGAGCGAUCCGG